UACGUAGGGUGCAAGCGUUAAUCGGAGUUACUGGGCGUAAAGCGUGCGCAGGCGGUUGUGCAAGACAGAUGUGAAAUCCCCGGGCUUAACCUGGGAACUGCAUUUGUGACUGCACGGCUAGAGUACGGUAGAGGGGGAUGGAAUUCCGCGUGUAGCAGUGAAAUGCGUAGAUAUGCGGAGGAACACCGAUGGCGAAGGCAGUCCCCUGGACCUGUACUGACGCUCAUGCACGAAAGCGUGGGGAGCAAACAGG
rnacentral:rRNA from 1 species